GGGUGAUGCUUCUACGAGACAAGAAUACCAAAGACUGCAGGCAGGCCAACAGAAGCAGAGGAAGGCAUGCUUCAGAUGCCCUCUCACAGCCCACAGGAGGUGUCAACUCUAAUGACACUGUGUGUGUGUGUGUGUACGAGCGCGCGUGGGUGCGUAUGUAUGUGUGUGUGUGUGUGUUUUCAGACAGUUCCUCUCUGUUGCUCAGGUUGAAGUGCAGUGGUGGGAAUGGGAACAUGGAUCACUGCAGGCUCAACCUUUCAGGCUCAGGUGGAGCGGAGAUCACACCACUGCACUCCAGCCUGGCAACAGAGCAAGAUUCCGUCUCAAAAAAAAAAAAAGAGAAGAAAAGAAAAAAGAUUAUAGAAUAGGAAUUUAAGACCUUAGGCCAAUUAUUCAGAACUCUGUUACUGGAAAAUUAAGAAGAGGAGCAGAAAUCACCAAGGGAGACAAAGAUAAAGAGCCAGAGGAAUAGAGAAGAACAUUUGGAGCCAAGAAAAGAGGCUAUUCCAAAGAGGUGUGGUCAACAAUAUUGUAUUCUACUAAGUCUUCAAAUAUAAAUACAAAAAAAUUCAAUUUUGGCAUUAUGGCAGUCAUUGUUAACCUUAGCAGAGAUCAGAGAAAUGGAGGGAGCAUGCAUGCAAAGGAGAUGAAAACAUCUUGCGAAAACAUCUUGCAAAAACUCUACAAAGUUUGACUGUGGAAAAGUGCAGAGGAGGAAAGUGGUAACUCUAUUAAUCAGGAUGAUUUAAGGAAGCUGUCUCUACAGACAAACCCAAGGACUUUACACAGUAACUGUUUGUUUUGUUCAUGCGGUGUUUAAUGACGACCUUCCCCAACCCACCCUGUGGUUCUGCCAUCUGGAACACAUGACCUCUAUGUUCACCAGGGCAGAGAAAGGAUUUUUGGAAGAGUGACGCACAUUAUUACUGUUACACAUCACUUUCUCUCCCAAUCCAUGGACCAGAGCCAGACUCAUGGUCCAGGGAAGUUACGAAUCUUAGGAGCACACUUGGAAUAUCUGAUGCACUUGUAUAGUGUUUUUAUCACAAAAUCUCAAGCAGGAUGUGGAGUCAAAAGAUGUUUUUAUUUGUCGGUUGAUUUAUUUUGUUUGUCUAUUUGUCUUUAAGAUAGGAAAUACUAGAGCACAUCUGUUAUCUGAUGGAAACAUCAGAUAGAGAGUUGUAGAAGCAUCAAAGAAAGAAAUCUCAGAAGACAAAUUUCAUGAGAAGGCAGAGAAUGGUAUCCAAAACAGAGGAGUAAUGGCCAUUGGUAUUUUCUCUGCUGAAUCGCAGUCCUAAAAGGAAACAAUGGAUGUGAGUUGAGGUAUACUUUUUUUUUUUUUUUUUUUUGAGACAGAGUUUCGCUGUUGUUACCCAGACUAGAGUGCAAUGGCACGAUCUCGGCUUACGGCAACCUCCGCCUUCUGGGUUCAAGCAAUUAUCCUGCCUCAGCCUCCCGAGUAGCUGGGACUACAGGCGUGCACCACCAUGCCCAGCUAAUUUUUUUUUUUGUAUUUUUAGUAGAGACGGGGUUUCAUCUUGUUGACCAGGAUGGUCUUAAUCUCUUGACCUUGUGAUCCACCCACCUCAGCCUCCCAAAGUGCUGGGAUUAUAGGCGUGAGCCACCGCACCCGGCCGAGUUGAGGUAUAUUUAUUAAUUUGGUGAUGGAAGAUGAAAAAGUAACCGUUAGACAAUGUCUAUUCCCUCAUGAUAAUGUGAGCUGAAAGUUGAGACGUGGUGCAGGGUGGUGUGAAAGCCCAGAAGAUUGAGGAGCAUGGUAAAGGCAUGAAAUCAUUUCUACAAAGAAUGGAAGUCUUUCACUUGGCAACCUAUCUGGCUUAUUUUCUGCUGUAAUAUUCAGUCCUCAAAUUACCCUAAAAUAUUUAACGUAACUCAAAUAUGCUAUGUGCCUGCUCACGUUCCAUGACUUUAUUCUUGCUUUUCCUCUGCCUAGGCUGCUAUCCCCGGUCCCACCUUAUCUACCCUGUAAAAUUUGACUCAUCCUUCAGCUGUUAACUCAGGUAUGGGUUCUUUUAUGAAGGCCUUUCUAUUCCAUCAGAGUUAGUUCCUUACCCUUUCUCCUCCAGUAAUCCACAUCUCAUGGGCUCUAAGUUUCCUGAGAUCAUGAAACCUGUCUGUUCAUCUUUAUUCUUAGACAUAGCACAGAACAUUGUGCAAAAUAAAGAUAUACUUAUAAUUGCUUUUGAACUAGCUAUAGACAUUUAGUAGAAUAUAAA
ensembl:lncRNA